CUGACCUUUUGAGGAAACAGGAAGAGGGGGAAUAUUAGCUCUGAUCCUCUGUGACAGAUGAUUCCUAUCAACCUAUGACAAGCCCAUCGACACACGCAUGCAAGAGACAGAAGCAGAAUUUGAAUCCAGACUGCCCUAAGCAGGAGUCAUCUCUUUAACCGUUAACCUCUGCCAGUAUGGAUAACUUGCCUUGGGUUAGGACUGUUGCUAAAGGUUUCCAAACACCAGUUUCCAAAAAUUCAGAAUGUUCUCUUUGGUUAAUGGGAAAAAAUAUCUACUCCAUCCAAAGGAAAGUAGCAGCAACUAUGGAGAUUCUGGCAAAAACAAUGUUUAAUCUCGACUCAGCCUUCAGGAGCAAAUGAAGAGUCCUGUUCCCCUGCCUCACACCAGCAGCUGCAGGAGAGCGGGGAGGCACGAGAGAGGUUGACUGUCUGCUGAGGGUGUUUAGCAGCUCCUAUGCCUGGGGCUCAUUAUCUGCAAAGGUGACGGACAUCACAGAAAUGGUUCAAAGGUCACCCAGGGAAGAACUGGCUAAUGAUUCCAGGCAAACGUUCCCAAGCCUAGAGGACUCUGCUCCUUGCCACUGAAUCCAGAGCUCCAGAGACUUCGAGGCAGUACAGGGUGAAUGCUGGAUAUUCAAUCCUACAACACAGUGAAAAGACCAGUCCAGCAGUGAAUAUGUAUUCCUACUGUGCCAACUUCUGGAUACCCUGAAUCCACGAUUACUAAAAGCCCGGUGCUGGUGCAUGGAGUCCCAGAACAUCAUCCACUAGCCUCAUUCUUAGCCUGUCAGAUCCAGGAGCUCCUUACAGCACCACAUCACAGCAGAAACACACAGAACCACAGACACAGGUGAGCUAGGCAACUUGUCCAUGAUCCUUACUCACUGGCCAA